AUUGAACGCUGGCGGCAGGCCUAACACAUGCAAGUCGAGCGCGCGGCGGACGGGUGAGGAAUGUCUGGGAACCUGCCUGAUGGAGGGGGAUAACUACUGGAAACGGUAGCUAAUACCGCAACCCAUCUGCUGUGCCCAGAUGGGAGUAGCUAGUAUGUGGGGUAACGGCUCACCUAGGCGACGAUCCCUAGCUGGGCUGUGAGGAGGACCAGCCACACUGGAACUGAGACACGGUCCAGACUCCUACGGGAGGCAGCAGUGGGGAAUAUUGGACAAUGGGCGCAAGCCUGAUGCAGCCAUGCCGCGUGUGUGAAGAAGGCCUUCGGGUUGUAAAGCACUUUCAGCGGGGAGGCGGUACCCGCAGAAGAAGCACCGGCUAACUCCGUGCCAGCAGCCGCGGUAAUAC
rnacentral:rRNA from 1 species